rnacentral:lncRNA from 1 species
GGGCGUCCUUGUUAUCCACAUAAUGUGCGAGGGUAUAUUUUUAAGGGUUUACGGUUUACGGUUUACGGUUUAAGGUUCACGGUUUAGUGUUUAGGGUUUACGGUUUACUGUUUACGGUUUACGGUUUAGGGUUUUAGUGUUUAGGGUUUAGGGUUUAGGUAUAUAAUUUUCAGCAUAAAGUUGUAAAAUGAAGGGUAUAGGGUUGUAUGUUGCGGGUUUACGGUUCAGGGUUUAGGGUUUAUAGUUUAGGGUUUAGGGUUUAGGGCUUACUUUUACAUGUCGAGUUUAUGGAACUAGCUGGCCAAUAUAAAUAUCGGUCGAGCUACCAUGAACAUUAUCCUUACAAUAUAUUUAUUAGAUACGAGGGCGGCAAGAGUAUAUGAUUUACGGUUUAGGAUUUAGGGUUUAGGGUUUAGGGAUUAGGGCUUAGGGUUUAGGGUAUAUAAUUUUCAGCAUAAGGUUGUAAAAUGAAUGGUAUAGGGUUAUAUGUUGAGGAUUUACGGUUCAGGGUUUAGGGUUUAUGGUUAACGGUAUUGAGUUUACUUUUACAUGUCGAGCUUAUGGAACUAGCUGGCCAAUAUAAGUAUUGGUCGGACUACAAUAAACAUUAUCCGUAAAAUAUAUUUAUUAGAUAUGAGGGCGUCCAUGUUAGCAACAUAAGGGGCAAGGGUAUAUGAUUUAUUCUUUAUGAUUUAGGAUUUAGGGAUUAGUUGUAGGGUUGAGGGUUUAGGGUUUAAGGUUUAGGGUUUAGGGUUUAGGGUUUAGGGUUUAGGGUUUAGGUAUAUAAUUUUGAGCAUAAGGUGGUAAAAUGAAGGGUAUAGGGUUGUAUGUUCAGGGUUUACGGUUCAUGGUUUAGGAUUUAUGGUUAACGGUAUCGAGUUUACUUUUACAUGUCGAGUUUAUGGAACUACCUGGCCAAUAUAAGUAUUGGUCGAGCUACCAUAAACAUUAUCCGUAAAAUAUUUCUAUUAGAUAUGACGGCGUUCAUGUUAGCAACAUAAGGGGCGAGGGUAUAUGAUUUAUGCUUUAUGAUUUAGGGUUUAGGGAUUACUUGUAGGGUUUAUGGUUUAAGGUUAAGGGUUUAGGCUUUAGGGUUUAGGGUUUAGUGUUUAGGGUUUAGGGUUUGGGUUUAGGGUUUAUGGUUUAGGUAUAUAAUUUGGAACAUAAGGUUGUAAAAUGAAAGGUAUAGGGUUGUAUGUUGAGGGUUUACAGUUCAGAGUUUAGGGUUUAUGGUUAACGGUAUUGGGUUUACUUUUUUACAUGUCGAGUUUAUGGAACUAGCUGGUCAAUAUAAGUAUUGGUCGAGCUACCAUAAACAUUAUCCGUAAACUAUAUUUAUUAGAUAUGAGGGCGUCCAUCUAGCAACACAAGGGGCGAGGGUAUAUGGUUUAUAAUUUAGGGUUUAAGGAUUAGUUGUAGGGUUUAGGGUUUAGGAUUUAGGGUUUAGGUCUUCUGUGACAUGAAAGGAUUCGUGUUAGCACUACAGUUAGUCAUGCUGAGGUGGUUCAAGACGGGAGCUCAUCUGAGGAUGACAAUUUGGAUGAGGAUAACGCCGUGAAGAAAUUUAUCAGCCUUGGACAUGCCCGCAACACCGAUGCUGCAGGAACGUGCGGUGGUGGACAAGGUCGUUAGUGCAUGUAUUAGUGGGGGAGACGAGGGAGGUGGUGUUGCUGGAAGUGACGACAUUCAACCUAAGACCGAGGAGUUUGGUCUCGGUUGUAGGAAGAGUAAACGGCAGAAAAAAACCCCAAGUCUCUACUAGGAAAUUAUGAAUGUGACAAAUGGUUUCUCAGUCAAACAACCCAAGAAAUAGCAUUGACUACUCAACUAUGUUCUCCAUUCUCCUUGACAAAAUGAAAACACCAUUGUAAGUUUCAAAAAUAGCUAAAUAUCUUUCUCAAAAUGUUAUUUCUUGUGUAACUUUGGUAGUAGCCGGCUAAGUUGUAUAUGUUAAUUAUCUUUAUCUAAAUGAUAUUACUUGUGUAACUUUGGUAGUAGCCGGCGAAGUUGUAUAUGUUAAUUAUCUGGAACAGCUCCAUUGUUACGGGGUGAGGCAAAUCUUUUGGGGUUGAUUCGUAUUUGGUUUGCGCCGUUUGAGUCAGAAAUUAUGUGAACGAGAAGUUAUCACUAAUACCACUGUUUAAGU